CGUGACAACAGCGCAUUCCAUAUGCAUGCUAGAAUCAGUGUUGGUAACACUAAAUAAGAUUUCAUUCGUAUAUGAUUACAUUGCGACGUUGCCACCACGAAGUAGUAUAAGGAGACUUAACGCCCAUGUAAAGUUCAAAAAAACAUGGCCCCAAAACAAGGCGAAGCCUAUCUCAAGUUUUCCGGUGUUCGACUGUUCCGCGCGACCUCCUCGGGAAAAUUUACAACUAAAUAGUGACGUCUGCUUUUAAAGCACUGUGAAGUGUUUACAUUUGAAUGACAUAAAUAAUAAUUUAAAUAAUUACUUAUUAUUUAAUUAUGGGAGCAAAAUAAGACUAUUUGACAAUAUUAUUAAUUAUUAAAAAGAAAAACAAAGAAUCAUGGAAUAUUCGAUGGAAAAACUUACAUUUGAAGAGUGUAAGAUCAAAUUUAAUAAAUCACAAUUACCUUCUGAUAAGUGGUAUCAUAUGACAAGAAACAAAGAAUUUAUUUCGUUUAUAAAAUUGGAAUAAAUAAAGUCAAUCUUUGACAUUUCUAACGGGCGCUCUUUAAUUUGAAAUUGGUAGCAGGCGAACCACAUAUACCACUUAGUUGUAAAUUUUCCCGAGGAGGUCGCGCUGAACAGUCGGA